CUAAGAAUCUUCCGCAAUGGGCGAAAGCCUGACGGAGCGACGCCGCGUGGACGAUGGAGGCCGAAAGGUUGUAAAGUCCUUUUCUUGGUGAAGAAUAAGGGGGGUAGUGGAAAGACCUUCUGAUGACGUUAGCCAAGGAAUAAGCCCCGGCCAAUUACGUGCCAGCAGCCGCGGUAACACGUAUGGGGCGAGCGUUGUUCGGAAUUAUUGGGCGUAAAGGGCGUGUAGGCGGUCUUGUAAGCCUGGUGUUAAAGGCUCUGGCUUAACCAGAGUUUGGCGCUGGGAACUGCGGGACUAGAGUUCUGGAGGGGGAGCUGGAAUUCCAGGUGUAGGGGUGAAAUCUGUAGAUAUCUGGAAGAACACCGAUGGCGGAGGCGAGCUUCUAGCCAAGGACUGACGCUGAGGCGCGAAAGCGUGGGGAGCAAACAGGAUUAGAUACCCUGGUAGUCCACGCUGUAAACGAUGUGCACUGGGCGUUGGGGGUUUUGAUGCUCUUAGUGCCGUAGCUAACGCGUUAAGUGCACCGCCUGGGGAGUAUGCUCGCAAGGGUG
rnacentral:rRNA from 1 species